GACAGAGGAUGCAAGCGUUAUCCGGAAUGAUUGGGCGUAAAGCGUCUGUAGGUGGCUUUUUAAGUCCGCCGUCGAAUCCCAGGGCUCAACCCUGGACAGGCGGUGGAAACUACCAAGCUGGAGUACGGUAGGGGCAGAGGGAAUUUCCGGUGGAGCGGUGAAAUGCGUAGAGAUGUGGAGGAACACCGAUGGCGAAGGCAGCCCCCUGGGUCAAGAUUGACGCUCAUGCACGAAAGCGUGGGGAGCAAACAGG
rnacentral:rRNA from 1 species